GCUGGGCGUGGUGGCGUGUGCCUGUAAUCCCAGCACCUUGGGAGGCCGAGGUGGGUGGAUCACCUGAGGUCAGGAGUUUGAGACCAGCCUGACCAACCUGGUGAAACCCCGUCUCUA
rnacentral:SRP_RNA from 1 species